CUACGGCUUGUUCUACUGCCGACCGCAGCCGCCGCGAAAAUAGAGCGAGCCAAUCGGAAAACGGCAUUUCGCACGGAAAAUGAAAACCGGACGCGGCGACGGUGCGGACACGGGCGUAUUUGAGUUUUCAGCGGCGCUUUUAUCGGUCGCUGAAAUUCGGUUUUCGUUUCGCUCGUUACGUGCGUAAAAGCGGCGGCGGAAACGCACGGAUUUGUUCGUUCGGUUUGUUAUCGGUUCGUUCGGUUUUCUUCGGGCCUGUUGCAGAAAACGAUAACGGAAAACGAGCUGCGUGGUUUCCGAGCGGCCCGGGGACGUCCGGG